UUGGGUACAUUCGGUGGUGGAAACUUUCUGUUGCGGUUUUGCAGUUAGGGGCUGAGAAAAUUUUCAAAACGCUUCUGGCUUCACAUUCAAAACAGAAACCUGUGACUACAACAACAACUGCUGCAACGACUCCUACAAAGGUAACAAAGAAAAUAUCAGCAGCAAAAGCUGAGGGAAAAGAUCAAGAGGUGGUAAAGAAGAGGGAAAUAGAGACAAAAAGAGAGACAUCUGUUACUGGAUCAAGCAUCGAGGUGAGUAGAGCAGAUGGUCGAAGCCAUGGCAGUAGUAGCUAUGCAGGGAGUCUCACGGGUUCAGAGCAAGCAACUAAGCAUCCUUUCAAGAAGCCUGAAUGGGUUCAGAGAUCAUCACAUAGACCGAAAAAGAGCCCUGAUAGAAGUUCUGAUGAGCCUGAAUGGGUUGAGACAUCAUCAGCUCGAUCGACAAAGAGUCCUGCUAGAAGCUCUGAUAAUCUUAAAUGGGUUCAGCGAUCCUCACCUAGAUCGACAAAGAGCCCUGAUAGAAGCUCGGGAAGAGCAGCGGAUGAUGUUAAGGAUCUUAAGGGAGCUCUCAGGGGCUCGGGGGGAACAAAGAGUCAGGGUCAUGUCACGUUUCAGCUUCCU
rnacentral:lncRNA from 1 species